GUUGGCUGGCAGGAUGUACAUUAAAAUUGGAAUGAGCUAGAGAUUAGCAUGGCCCCUGCACCAGAAUGACAUGCAAAUUUGUGUAUUUUU
rnacentral:snRNA from 1 species